UAAAAAAAAGUCUUUUUCGCCGACAGAGAGAGAGAGAGAGUGAUCCAGUAGGGUGAUCGCGCUUCCGUACCUCGCGGAACGGAAACCCUAGGUCCCGAUUCGGAGGUCGGAGGAACCCUGACCCUGUCUCCGGGACGAUCGAGACCCCGCUCCCUCUCCCGCCACGAAAAGAUCACCAAAUUUCCCGCCCGCAGACUCGCGGGUCGAUUCAUUAAUCUGAUGCCGGGCAAUCGGUCGUAGGUGUUGGAUUCUUCUCCUUCUGCGUCUAGUUAUGCUACUUUGUUUGGAUUUGCCUGUCGAGGUGGCGAAGUUCGUGCUCUUGGCCCCGAUUUGAGAGGGAUAUGGUGGGGAUUACUCUUUUGGCUCAGUCACUUUUUGAGUGUUUAUGUUGAAGGAACUCAUAAUGAUAUCAGGAAAUUGCUUUUGUUUGGCAAGGAGAUAAAUGCACAAAAUAUCAGGGAAAUUAAGUUAUAACCCCCCCCCCUGGUCAGAGCAGGCUGGAUUUUUGCUAGGAGUGAAGUUUCUGAGGAGGUCUAGAUUUUCCUCAAGGAGUACUCAUUCUGUAUUCAUCCAUAUCAAGAAGCUGGAAGUUGGCUGACUUUGUAGAAUUUGCCAUGGGUCGUUCAGUAUUUGAAUAAUAUGCUGUGAAAUCUUAAUCUAAAAGGUUUCAGUUCUCAGUUCUGAGGUACUUUUGGUAGCCCCUUAGAAAAAGCACCUAAAAUUUGGAAAGCUUAGUGAUUUAUUUCUCUUUUGUAAAUGCUGCUAUUAAUUUAACAUAUGGAAAUCUAUGGAAGAGGAAGUUAAUAUGGUGCCUUAUCAAUGACAUUCAGUUAUUUGCCUCUCAGGAAGCCUGAUUCUUGUGUUUAAUAUGGUUUGUUUUUAAGGGUCUUUAUGUGGAGAUUAUAGGACAGAAAAGUAUAUUUUCAUCCAUAAAGUCACAAUUGGAUACUAAAUUUUCAAAGCAUAAGCUUGAGGCUUCUUUGGUACCGAUACUCAUAUUUUCUUUUAAUAUUUCUGAUGGCUAUUAAAGUAUCCAAGGAAAGCUGUUCUGAUCUUGUUGAAGAUUUAGAGGCAAGAGACUGCUGAAUAUGCUGCUUCUUAGGUGCUUCCUCUUUUGAGUGUCUCUUUCUUGUCCAAGACAGCACAUUGUGCAAGGAAUAAGCAGUUGUGGCAACAAUAUUUGAUGUACAAGCAGCUCCAAGAGGUUCAGAGACAGCAGCAACUUCAGCAGCUAGAUCAGGGAGCAGGCAGCUGAGUCCGCUUAGUCAGUUAUCUGCUGUAUCAAAGCCUGCAACAGGAAAUCAGUCACCCGCAAGCCAUCAGUCAAGCAUAUAGCAGUAUGUGGCUUAAUAAUUUUGUUGGAGGCACAUCCAACAUACCUAGUAAAUCUCAUGUGUUUAAAGCUGGAAACAUGAACUUGGUGCAGCCCAGUUGCUCUGUUGCCAUGCAGAACCAUGCAAAUGGUGUAAUUAUUUCAAAUGAUCAAAAUCAGGCAACACAAUCUAUGGGAUUUAUUCCACAAAAGAUGGAUCACUCUUUUCUUGGCAUGCCUACUUCAGAUACCAGCUCUGUCAACAACUAUUCACAUUUAUUAAGAAUGUCUGAUGAUUGUCAUGAUUUGAUGACUAAGGCAGCUGCAACCAAGGCAGAAAAGCCAACAUAUUCAUCUAGCACUUUGUGAGCUGAUUAUCAAGGGGCCUCACAAAGUUGCUUACAGGAUAAGGCUUUAGCUACUGCACAGAAUUUUCAGGGGAAACAUGACUUUGGCAAUUAUCCAGUACAAGUUCUGGGUAAUAAUGUUCCAUCAAGAAACUUUCAACAGAUGAACAAUAUGCAAAGCAGCAUUCAGUUCCAGGAAUUUCAUGGUACACAAAAACAAGAAAUGUCAUCUAGUAAUUCACUGGAAGAGCCAUUAUCAGACGUAGGGACUUGUAGCACUGUGGCUAGUCUAGAUCCUAUAGAACUGAAGCUCUUGUUUGGCUCUGAUGAUGAUCACAAUUGGGGUCUUCCAUCUGGAGGGAGCUUUAUCUCUGGCAUGGGUAGUGAUAUUCAUGGGCAUCCUUGAGAGAGUGGUUAUUAUGGUAUGUUUCCUUCUAUCCGUAGUGGGAGCUGUAGUGCUCUUAUACAAGAGGCUGUUCAAGCUUCCAUUGCUGAUAAGGGGCAGGAGGAAUGGAGUGGCAUGGGUUUUCAGAAAACAGAGCAACUGACCGGUAAAGCAUUUUGUAACUACUAAUGAUAAUGGGAAACAUGCAGCUGUUUGGGAUGAUAGCAACCUUAAGGGUGCAACUUCUUUAAUUCCGGGAACUUUUCCCUUGAUUAAUGGUGUUAAUGCAACCUCAAACUCUGAUCCUAGUAAUCGGCAUUCCUUUAAGUCCGCUUAUGAAGAAAACAACAAGGCUCUGACUGAGGUUCCCCAUGCAUCUUUCAAGUCUUCUUCCAGAGGACCCAGUAACAAAGAGUUCCUUCAGAGCAGAAUCAUACCCAAGCUGUGGAAGGUGGCCUUCAAGUUCAAGUACCUUCAACUAGUGGAGCCUGGGCUGGACAAACUAUUCAGCUGCGUGAAAUUAGUUCUGGUAACUUUUGAAGUCACAGGACAUAGGUGGUGUUUGGGGUAACCAACAAAACAUGUUCUCUUCUAAUGUUUCUAUCCUGCCUGUUGAUAAAAACUAAACAGCUUAAAUGCAAGUUAUCCUGUGGCAUCAAGAGGUGACAACACUUUAAAUUAUCAAGAAAUUGAUGACAGUUUGUGGAAGAUUGGUGAAAAUCAUGGUAAUCUGAAUUGUGGGUUGCAACCAGUUCAAACCGAUAUUAUUGGCAGCCCCAAGAUGCAAGCCGAAGAUUUUUUAGCAGGUCAGUUUGAUUCUGUAAAGAAACCAACACCUUAAAGUUGGACCAGGACAUGCAUCGACAGGUUCUCAAUGCACGGCAAACUGUCUUUGAGGAACAGUUUGCCCUUAAUUUAUGUGUGAAUUCUGGAGGUGACAAAGAUGUUAUUGAGAACCAGAAUCAACAAACGGGGAGACCACAAACUUGGAACACAUCUUUAAGUGCUGCUGCAGAAAGAUUGGGUGAUAGGCUACUAGAAGGAAUGCAGAAGAGUGGUCACAGAUGAGGGUUAUGUUGGAAAUGCAGCAAAAGAGAAGUCCUUAUUGACUGGUAAUAUAACCAGUUUAAAAUGUUGUGCAGUUCAUUGCAAAGUUUGAGGAAGACUGCAGGGCCCAUCCAACUCCAACUCCGUUUCUCAAGGAUCGAAUAAUGAGGAGCAACCAUUUGUUGGAAAGUCAGUCACAGUUUUCUGGUCAUACUGUUUCCAACAAUUCUGUGGAUGUGCCUAAGAGGAUUGCAGUGGGAACAGAAGAAUUGCUGUCGGGAAAUACCAUACCUCUUCCUGGCAAUUCUUUUGAUGGAUCAACUGCUCAAAUUUUCCAGAACGAGACAGUUGCUCCAACAAGGUACAUUAUGGACUAUCCAUUUAGCUCCAUUAUUUUAUCAUGAUCAUCCUCGCCAAGAAUUCCCUUGCGCUGAUGCAUUAUGCUGAUAGCUGCAUGGCGCUUGUCACUAUCAGAUAACCAUGAUAUGUGGUCAGGGUAUUGUACUCUCCCAUGCCUAGUGCUGGGACUGCCGAAAUGGGCAGGCUAUGCUUUUCAACGUUUGCUUUACCGUCCGGAUAAACUUAGAUGUUUGUUAUAAUGCUUAUAUAUGUCUGUGUCUUUUGGCAUGUUCAUAUCUUGUACAACAUAUAGAGGGGCGGCCGAAGGCUUAAUAGUCUCAUUUUAGUUUGGUUGGUAGCCUCUUUAGGCUUGUAAAUAAAUGUUGUGUCAUAUGGACACGUGCGAGAGAUUUUCGAUCUGUAA